GAUGAAGAACGUAGCGAAAUGCGAUAAGUAAUGUGAAUUGCAGAAUUCAGUGAAUCAUCGAAUCUUUGAACGCACAUUGCGCCCGUCAGUAUUCUUGCGGGCAUGCCUGUUCGAGCGUCAUUACGCCCCUCAAGUCCCCGGUGGACUUGGUGGUGGGGAUCGGCGAGGCUGGUUUUCCAGCACAGCCGUCCCUUAAAUUAAUUGGCGGUCUCGCCGUGGCCCUCCUCUGCGCAGUAGUAAAACACUCGCAACAGGAGCCCGGCGCGGUCCACUGCCGUAAAACCCCCCAACUUUUUAUAGUUGACCUCGAAUCAGGUAGGACUACCCGCUGAACUUAAGCAUAUCAAUAAGCGGAUGA
rnacentral:misc_RNA from 1 species